CAAAGGUGAGCCAGUACAGGAUGGACCCGCGUCUGAUUAGCUAGUUGGUAAGGUAACGGCUUACCAAGGCGACGAUCAGUAGCCGACCUGAGAGGGUGAUCGGCCACAUUGGAACUGAGACACGGUCCAAACUCCUACGGGAGGCAGCAGUGGGGAAUAUUGCACAAUGGGCGAAAGCCUGAUGCAGCAACGCCGCGUGAGUGAUGAAGGCCUUCGGGUCGUAAAACCCUGUCCUCAAGGAAGAUAAUGACGGUACUUGAGGAGGAAGCCCCGGCUAACUACGUGCCAGCAGCCGCGGUAAUACGUAGGGGGCUAGCGUUAUCCGGAUUUACUGGGCGUAAAGGGUGCGUAGGCGGUCUUUCAAGUCAGGAGUGAAAGGCUACGGCUCAACCGUAGUAAGCUCUUGAAACUGGGAGACUUGAGUGCAGGAGAGGAGAGUGGAAUUCCUAGUGUAGCGGUGAAAUGCGUAGAUAUUAGGAGGAACACCAGUUGCGAAGGCGGCUCUCUGGACUGUAACUGACGCUGAGGCACGAAAGCGUGGGGAGCAAACAGGAUUAGAUACCCUGGUAGUCCACGCUGUAAACGAUGAGUACUAGGUGUCGGGG
rnacentral:rRNA from 1 species